CGAGACUCUGGGCUUCUCUUGACUCAGUUUCCUCUACUGUAACUUGCGGAUGGGGGCUUCCGCACAUGCAGGCUGUCAGGGUGAGACUGAGCCGAAGAGUGCUCGAGGGUCCCCGAAGUCCUCCCAGAGGUUGGGGUGCGGCUGCCUUGGCGACCAUUUGUCCUGCAGUUUGUAUGGACCCAGGCUGUCCUUCUGUGUGCUGUAAUGAGGUGAACAUGUCCAUGAGCCUGGCAGGGAGGAAUCCUCCAGCCUCUUCUUCUCUGGUGCACCAGGUCGUUGGCGGGCCCUGAGAUACAAGUAAGCAGGAACGUCAGAGCAGGAGGAGCCAGUGGAGCCAUCAGGAUACCCAGGCCCAUGGGGCAGGAGGCCCCAGUCACCGCAGGAUUGGGGCGGAAGACAAGAGGCGGCCGGCUGUGAGGGAGGCAACCUCCCUCCCCGCUCUUGCACCUCGUGGCCAUGUGGUUUGGGACAGGACACCCCUGAGAGUGCAGGCACCUCCCCCUCCCACCCCUCCAUCCCUUUGGGGGCCACCGCCUGGCCCCCCACCCGGUC
rnacentral:lncRNA from 1 species